CCCUUAGAUGUUCUGGGCCGCACGCGUGCUACACUGAGUGGAUCAGCGGGUCAGGUUGCGCGAAAGUGUUUCCUAAUCUUGAAAUCCGCUCGUGAUGGGGAUUGACGGUUGCAAUUUUCCGUCAUGAACGAGGAAUACCUUGUAAGCGCGGGUCAUCAUCCCGCGCUGAAUACGUCCCUGCCCUUUGUACACACCGCCCGUCGCUCCUACCGAUUGAGUGGCCCGGUGAGGCUUUGGGAUCUGAGCGGAAAGAGCGUUUCGCUGUUUCUGCUCGGAAAACUCAGUCGAACCUUAUCAUUUAGAGGAAGGAGAAGUCGUAACA
rnacentral:rRNA from 1 species